AGAGUUUGAUCCUGGCUCAGGACGAACGCUGGCGGCGUGCCUAAUACAUGCAAGUCGAGCGGACAGAUGGGAGCUUGCUCCCUGAUGUUAGCGGCGGACGGGUGAGUAACACGUGGGUAACCUGCCUGUAAGACUGGGAUAACUCCGGGAAACCGGGGCUAAUACCGGAUGGUUGCCUGAACCGCAUGGUUCAGGCAUAAAAGGUGGCUUCGGCUACCACUUACAGAUGGACCCGCGGCGCAUUAGCUAGUUGGUGAGGUAACGGCUCACCAAGGCGACGAUGCGUAGCCGACCUGAGAGGGUGAUCGGCCACACUGGGACUGAGACACGGCCCAGACUCCUACGGGAGGCAGCAGUAGGGAAUCUUCCGCAAUGGACGAAAGUCUGACGGAGCAACGCCGCGUGAGUGAUGAAGGUUUUCGGAUCGUAAAGCUCUGUUGUUAGGGAAGAACAAGUGCCGUUCAAAUAGGGCGGCACCUUGACGGUACCUAACCAGAAAGCCACGGCUAACUACGUGCCAGCAGCCGCGGUAAUACGUAGGUGGCAAGCGUUGUCCGGAAUUAUUGGGCGUAAAGGGCUCGCAGGCGGUUUCUUAAGUCUGAUGUGAAAGCCCCCGGCUCAACCGGGGAGGGUCAUUGGAAACUGGGGAACUUGAGUGCAGAAGAGGAGAGUGGAAUUCCACGUGUAGCGGUGAAAUGCGUAGAGAUGUGGAGGAACACCAGUGGCGAAGGCGACUCUCUGGUCUGUAACUGACGCUGAGGAGCGAAAGCGUGGGGAGCGAACAGGAUUAGAUACCCUGGUAGUCCACGCCGUCACGAUGAGUGCUAAGUGUUAGGGGGUUUCCGCCC
rnacentral:rRNA from 2 species